GACGAACGCUGGCGGCGUGCUUAACACAUGCAAGUCGAACGCUGAAGCUCAGCUUUUGUUGGGUGGAUGAGUGGCGAACGGGUGAGUAACACGUGAGUAACCUGCCCCCUUCUUUGGGAUAACGCCCGGAAACGGGUGCUAAUACUGGAUAUUCACUGGUCUUCGCAUGGGGGUUGGUGGAAAGGGUUUUUCUGGUGGGGGAUGGGCUCGCGGCCUAUCAGCUUGUUGGUGGGGUGAUGGCCUACCAAGGCUUUGACGGGUAGCCGGCCUGAGAGGGUGACCGGUCACAUUGGGACUGAGAUCCGGCCCAGACUCCGACGGGGGGCAGCAGUGGGGAAUAUUGCACAAUGGGCGCAAGCCUGAUGCAGCGACGCCGCGUGAGGGAUGGAGGCCUUCGUGUUGUGAACCUCUUUCGCUAAUGGUCAAGCCGCAACAAUGGUUGUGGUGAGGGUAGUGGGUAAAGAAGCGCCGGCUAACUACGUG
rnacentral:rRNA from 1 species